rnacentral:lncRNA from 15 species
GCACACACAGCUAUGCAGUGGGUGAGCUGACACCCGGAGUAUAUAAAGCAUGUUGAGGUCUCAUCUCAGCUAUCCUUCCGUUUACCCAGCAGCGAUGGCAGCAGCAGCUUUGUCCAGAAGCAGAGGAGUGGCUGGUGUCACAGCCACCAGAGGCCUGUUCUUCAUCUUCUCCCUACUGUGUCUGGUUUGCCUCGCAAGUUCAUUCAUUGACGAGGACCAACUGGAAAGGCAAAAGGAAGAUCUCCAGAAAGCAGAACAACAACUGGAAAGUGUGAAGAAACGAAGGGACACCACUUUGGAGUUCACCAAUGAAUUUUUGAAUCACUUGGAGCCACUGAUAGCAGUCGCAAAGAAAACAUCUGUCUUUGUGGAACUGGAUGGACUUCUGGAAAAAAUCAAAGACACGAUGCAGAAAAGCAAAGAGCUGUUUGAGGGGUUCGGUGCAGAAAUGGAGAACAAUGAACAUAAACUGAGAAAACAUAAGAAAUUUAUUAAUUUCCUUGAGGAGCUUCAAGCUGAAUUGUAACUUUCAUGUCAGUUAGUGCCUCUAUCUCUGAUAUUGCAUCUAUUGUAUCUGUUAUGUUUCUCUUUCCUAGUGUGCAACUCCAUCUCAAUGUUUCUACAUUUGAAAUCAUGAAUUCAAUUUAAUGGUUUGACAUUAACUAGGAUGUUACACAAUGAGUUGACAGGGAAUACAUUUACAAAUGUACUGCUGUGCAUUACAAUUUGGGGAAACAAUGUUUAUGCAAAAUGAAACAAAAUAAACACAUUUUACUCCUGUUACUUCUAGUUUACUAAAACAUUAAUGUGGAUAACUUAAGUGAAUUAUGUUUCUGUUUUCUUUUGCUUCAAAACAGAAAUCAGAGCUGUUAAUUAAUGAUAAUGAUACGAAUAUUGUACAUAAAAACCAGCAUAUGUGGAUAUCCAAUAAAUUCAGUACCUGGGAAUUAUUGUCUGUCUGUUGUCUGUUCUUUCUUUAUAAUCCUAAAAGAUGAGGCCCAGAGUUCUGAUAUAAAUAUGUUCUCUGUAGAGGUAAUGCCAUGCUGGUAAGUUAUCCUCUCUGUUGCUUAUAACAAAGACCAUUUUUACUCACACUGAAAGAAUUUAAGCAUAUUAUUGAGAGAGAGCAGCUCUUUGAAUUAGGAUCAAUGCUGACGUGUUUGUAGUAAUCAUACAUACAUUGUGUGAUGAUGGUUUGUGGGAUCAAACAGUGAAGAAUUGUGUCCAGAUAAGAUUUAACUUAAUGUCCAGUGAUCCAGUUAUAA